AGAGUUUGAUCCUGGCUCAGGAUGAACGCUAGCUACAGGCUUAACACAUGCAAGUCGAGGGGCAUCAGGAAGAAAGCUUGCUUUCUUUGCUGGCGACCGGCGCACGGGUGAGUAACACGUAUCCAACCUGCCCUUUACUCGGGGAUAGCCUUUCGAAAGAAAGAUUAAUACCCGAUGGCAUAAUGAUUCCGCAUGGUUUCAUUAUUAAAGGAUUCCGGUAAAGGAUGGGGAUGCGUUCCAUUAGGUUGUUGGUGAGGUAACGGCUCACCAAGCCUUCGAUGGAUAGGGGUUCUGAGAGGAAGGUCCCCCACAUUGGAACUGAGACACGGUCCAAACUCCUACGGGAGGCAGCAGUGAGGAAUAUUGGUCAAUGGGCGCUAGCCUGAACCAGCCAAGUAGCGUGAAGGAUGAAGGCUCUAUGGGUCGUAAACUUCUUUUAUAUAAGAAUAAAGUGCAGUAUGUAUACUGUUUUGUAUGUAUUAUAUGAAUAAGGAUCGGCUAACUCCGUGCCAGCAGCCGCGGUAAUACGGAGGAUCCGAGCGUUAUCCGGAUUUAUUGGGUUUAAAGGGAGCGUAGGUGGACUGGUAAGUCAGUUGUGAAAGUUUGCGGCUCAACCGUAAAAUUGCAGUUGAUACUGUCAGUCUUGAGUACAGUAGAGGUGGGCGGAAUUCGUGGUGUAGCGGUGAAAUGCUUAGAUAUCACGAAGAACUCCGAUUGCGAAGGCAGCUCACUGGACUGCAACUGACACUGAUGCUCGAAAGUGUGGGUAUCAAACAGGAUUAGAUACCCUGGUAGUCCACACAGUAAACGAUGAAUACUCGCUGUUUGCGAUAUACAGUAAGCGGCCAAGCGAAAGCAUUAAGUAUUCCACCUGGGGAGUACGCCGGCAACGGUGAAACUCAAAGGAAUUGACGGGGGCCCGCACAAGCGGAGGAACAUGUGGUUUAAUUCGAUGAUACGCGAGGAACCUUACCCGGGCUUAAAUUGCAGUGGAAUGAUGUGGAAACAUGUCAGUGAGCAAUCACCGCUGUGAAGGUGCUGCAUGGUUGUCGUCAGCUCGUGCCGUGAGGUGUCGGCUUAAGUGCCAUAACGAGCGCAACCCUUAUCUUUAGUUACUAACAGGUCAUGCUGAGGACUCUGGAGAGACUGCCGUCGUAAGAUGUGAGGAAGGUGGGGAUGACGUCAAAUCAGCACGGCCCUUACGUCCGGGGCUACACACGUGUUACAAUGGGGGGUACAGAAGGCAGCUAGCGGGUGACCGUAUGCUAAUCCCAAAAGCCUCUCUCAGUUCGGAUCGAAGUCUGCAACCCGACUUCGUGAAGCUGGAUUCGCUAGUAAUCGCGCAUCAGCCACGGCGCGGUGAAUACGUUCCCGGGCCUUGUACACACCGCCCGUCAAGCCAUGGGAGCCGGGGGUACCUGAAGUACGUAACCGCAAGGAUCGUCCUAGGGUAAAACUGGUGACUGGGGCUAAGUCGUAACAAGGUAGCC
rnacentral:rRNA from 1 species